rnacentral:tRNA from 1 species
GAAGAGUUAGUAUACACAUAUUACCCGCCCUUGUCAAGGGCGAAAUAUAGGACCAUGAACCCUUUACUCUUCU